GCCGGGUUGGCGGAAUGGUAGACGCGGCGCACUCAAAAUGCGCUGUCCGCGAGGGCGUGCGGGUUCGAGUCCCGCACCCGGCACAA
rnacentral:tRNA from 1 species